rnacentral:tRNA from 1 species
GAAACUUAGGAUUACUUUAAACCGAAG